rnacentral:rRNA from 1 species
UGGGGAAUUUUGGACAAUGGGCGCAAGCCUGAUCCAGCCAUGCCGCGUGCGGGAAGAAGGCCUUCGGGUUGUAAAGCUCUUUUGUCAGGGAAGAAACGGUGAAGGCUAAUAUCCUUUGCUAAUGACGGUACCUGAAGAAUAAGCACCGGCUAACUACGUGCCAGCAGCCGCGGUAAUACGUAGGGUGCAAGCGUUAAUCGGAAUUACUGGGCGUAAAGCGUGCGCAGGCGGUUGUGUAAGUCAGAUGUGAAAUCCCCGGGCUCAACCUGGGAAUUGCAUUUGAGACUGCACGGCUAGAGUGUGUCAGAGGGGGGUAGAAUUCCACGUGUAGCAGUGAAAUGCGUAGAUAUGUGGAGGAACACCGAUGGCGAAGGCAGCCCCCUGGGUCAAGAUUGACGCUCAUGCACGAAAGCGUGGGGAGCAAACA